rnacentral:sRNA from 1 species
CCUGGGUGUACACUGUCUCCAUCACAUUGUGCUUAAUGUGCCAGCUGCUGAUUUGCUCCAGUAUAACAGAGCCCAGGUCCUAUACCAUGCCAUUUCCAACCACCUGUACACGCCAGAGCACCACCUCAUUCAGGCUGUGCUCCCGUGUCUGCUGGAUUUAUUCCCCAUCCUGGAGAAAACCCUGCACUGGAAAGGAGAUGGAGCUCGACCCACCACCCAUUGUGAUGAGGUCCUGCGGCUGAUCCUGACCCACAUGGAGCCAGAGCACCGCCUUCUUCUACGCAGGACCUACGCAAGAAACCUGCCGGCUUUCGUGAACAGGUUGGGGAUCCUAACUGUCCGGCACUUAAAGAGGCUGGAGAGAGUCAUCAUUGGUUAUCUGGAGGUUUAUGAUGGACCUGAGGAGGAAGCUAGACUGAAGAUAUUGGAAACCCUAAAACUUCUCAUGCAACAUACUUGGCCCAGAGUUUCCUGCAGACUUGUGGUCUUACUGAAGGCCCUCUUGAAACUGAUUUGUGAUGUAGCAAGGGAUCCAAACCUUACACCUGAGUCUGUUAAGAGCGCCCUGCUACAGGAGGCCACAGACUGCCUGAUUCUCCUGGACCGCUGUUCUCAAGGACGGGUAAAGACGUGGACACCAUUAUUAUCAACUUGUUUUCAUAGAAAAGUUGAGUUUCUUGGCACCAGAGCUCCGCAGGGUCGGGACCAGAGGGAGGCAGGCCCGAAACAGCAAAUCGCUCUCAGGCUUCUGCAGUGCACCCAGCACUGCAGGACACCCAGGGUCAGCACCUCCUCAGAUUUUGAGCCCUAAGUACCUCAUUUGCCUUGCCCUAGACCCAGCCCUCCCAAAAUGCUGAAUUACCUCCUUAGGUUUAUUACCUCCUAGACUAGGGCACAAUAAUUUUAUUUGAGUUUUUGGAUUUGGAACUCAGUAGCUUGAAGUCAAUUAGCUUUCCUUUACCAGUGUCUAGUCCGUUUGGGCUACUAUCACAACACACCUUAGUUUGGGUAAUGCAUGAACAACGGAACUCCACUGCUCCCAGUCUGGAUGAUGGGAAGUCCAAGAUCAACAAACACGCUGGCAGAUUCCUCAUCUGUUAGCGUCUGUGCCUCAUACAAGAGACCCUCUAUGUGUCCUCACAUGGCAGAAGCUCUCUCUGGUCUCUUUCAUAAAGACACAGUACAUUUGUAAAUUUAUAUAGACUAUAAAGGCACGAAAUUCACAUAUGAAUUUGGGGCAGGGUACAAACAUUCACACCAUAGCAACCAGUACAAUCUUUUCUUGAAUAAAUGACUUUGACCUUUUUUUUUUUAAAUUUAUUUUAUUUAUUUUUGUAGACAGUCUUGCUCUGUUGCCCAGGCUGGAGUGCAGUGGCUUGAUCUCGGUUAACUGCAGCCUUUACCUCCUGGACUCAAGAGAUCCUCCCACCUCAGCCUCCCAGUAGGUGGGACUACAGGCAUGGGCCACCACACUCGGCUAAUUUUUGUAUUUUUUGUAGAGACAGGGUCCCGCUAUGUUGCUCAGGCUGGUAUCGAACUCCUGGGCUCAAGCGAUCUGCCCGCCUCGGCCUCCCAAAGUGCUGGGAUUACAGGUGUGAGCCGCUGCCACGCCUGGCCUGAAUGGGUGACUGAAUGCGCUCCAGUCCUAGUCCAGUUGGAGAAGCGGAGAGUUU